rnacentral:rRNA from 1 species
UACGUAGGUGACAAGCGUUGUCCGGAUUUACUGGGCGUAAAGAGCGCGCAGGCGGUCGAUUAAGUCGGGUGUGAAAGCCCCGGGCUCAACCUGGGAAUUGCAUUCGAGACUGAAUAGCUAGGGUACGGUAGAGGGAAGUGGAAUUUCCGGUGUAGCGGUGAAAUGCGUAGAUAUCGGAAGGAACAUCAGUGGCGAAAGCGACUUCCUGGACCAGUACCGACGUUCAGGCACGAAAGCGUGGGGAGCAAACAGG